rnacentral:lncRNA from 1 species
UGUGAGUUUACCUUGGAAAAGUCACAUAAAUCCCAGAGACUUGAUUUUCUGAUUUGUAACAGCUCACACAGUCUGUUGUUGCAGCUCAUAAUUGGUUUUUCAAGUGCAAGUUGUAGGCCUUUAAUUUGGAUGCUUUUGUGACUGAGUUAUGUUUCUUCAUUCUACAAUAUCAACAUAAGACGGUGCCUAAGUAUAUGUAAACAGAUGAUGAAGUCUCUUGCAAUUUUUCUGAUCUCCAUCAAGAACCGAAGGGACAACUGCACAUUUUCCAAUGAAACGUAAUUCAUUCAGGGAUUUUAACCAUUUUAUCUUGUCUGUAAAAUGAAAAACCAAGAUCAAAAGUGUACAGCCAUUCUGACAAAAAAAAUGAGUAGGAAGAAGAUUUGUAAAAUACACUAUUUAUUGUGGCUAUGUCAAAGGAAACAUUCUCUAGGCUGUUGAACCUCACUUUCAACCAAGAAGAUCUGCCUCUGUGAACAGACUUAAUUCUGUCUGCUAGUUGGGAGGACAUAAAAUAUUAUUGUAGGUAUUCAUGCCAUAAUUUAAGAGAUUUUGUGGUUAA